ensembl:lncRNA
UCAUCAUAUUGGUGUGUGUCUGCAGUCAUUUGGCCCUGAUCAGGCUAUUGAUCAGUGUGUGCAGAGGCCUAACACAGCCAAGAAGCCAUAUCAUCAGCUUUUUCACAUUGCUUUAAUUGACUCACAUCUAGUAGCACCUGAACUUUGCCAGGAGGGAAGACUGUGAAGACUGUAAAACCUCUGGUCUUCAUUUUGCAGCACUGAGAGGUGGCUUGUUCCUUGAGAGUCAACUGUUUUCAUGCUAAAAACACUGGAUUGUCAAACUGUCAAAGUAACAGGCAUAUUGUGAAAAAGGAGUUGCUGGAGAAAGAUCCUUUGCUUUUUUGCAGUCACUGCUGAAGAAGGCUCUGAAUUUUGAAAGCAGCUUCAGAAAAGAACUUUACAAAAAGUAUAGGAAGUUCCCAACUACCUGACACUUAAUGCUGUGAAACUACUGCUGAGUUCUAAAAUGCAAGCCAACAUCCCAAAUCAAAGCCAAGAUAUGAGUACUACCUGCCUGCCAGCCCCCAUUGAGACACUGAAUGGCUGCUCUCAGAUCUCCCCAGAGCCUUCUCCAAGUUGAACAGCCCCAGCUCUCUCAGUCUGUUCUCAUAGGAGAUGUGUUUCAUCCGUUGGAACAUUUGUGUCCCUCCUCUGUUUGUGCACCAGCAGGUCCAUGUCUCUCCUGUACUGAGGACUCCACAGUUGGAUGCAGUACUCCAGGUCCAUGUCUCUCCUGUACUGAGGACUCCAUCGUUGGAUGCAGUACUCCAGCUCUCUCCCAGCAAGGAAAGAGAAUUCUAUAGGCUUCCAUGAAAUAACUAUGGGACGCACGUGUUGCAUCUGGGAGCUGAUGUCUCAAAACAAGAACUGCACCCACUGACAUAAAUUGGUCCCUUAAGAGAAGAAAAAAAAUCCAAGAUGUUGGUCUGGAGACUCAGUGCAGUUCCUUCACUCCCAGCUGGGAUUUGAGCUCAUGUCUCUCAGGACUACCAAGUCAAUACUUCAAAGUAGGUGCAUUAGAGAAAGCAAAGUACAAGUAACAGAUGUGAAGAAAACAAGUGAGAGACUAUGGCUUGAGUGGCUGUGGCUUGGCCUUAGAUGUACAGCAAAUGUCCUCAUGGAUGCAUGAGUGACAUGCAAGGAGGAAGGAACCACCCACGCAGGCACAAAGAUGGAUGCGUUGACUGCUUCGGAGUGGGUUAAUAGUUCCUCUGCAACCCCAGCUUAGAUGCAGGACCUAUGUCCAUGGAUCACAUCCA